UGAGUAGGGCGGGACACGUGGUAUCCUGUCUGAAUAUGGGGGGACCAUCCUCCAAGGCUAAAUACUCCUGACUGACCGAUAGUGAACCAGUACCGUGAGGGAAAGGCGAAAAGAACCCCGGCGAGGGGAGUGAAAAAGAACCUGAAACCGUGUACGUACAAGCAGUGGGAGCCUCUUAAUGGGGUGACUGCGUACCUUUUGUAUAAUGGGUCAGCGACUUAUAUUCUGUAGCAAGGUUAACCGAAUAGGGGAGCCGAAGGGAAACCGAGUCUUAACUGGGCGUUAAGUUGCAGGGUAUAGACCCGAAACCCGGUGAUCUAGCCAUGGGCAGGUUGAAGGUUGGGUAACACUAACUGGAGGACCGAACCGACUAAUGUUGAAAAAUUAGCGGAUGACUUGUGGCUGGGGGUGAAAGGCCAAUCAAACCGGGAGAUAGCUGGUUCUCCCCGAAAGCUAUUUAGGUAGCGCCUCGUGAAUUCAUCUCCGGGGGUAGAGCACUGUUUCGGCAAGGGGGUCAUCCCGACUUACCAACCCGAUGCAAACUGCGAAUACCGGAGAAUGUUAUCACGGGAGACACACGGCGGGUGCUAACGUCCGUCGUGAAGAGGGAAACAACCCAGACCGCCAGCUAAGGUCCCAAAGUCAUGGUUAAGUGGGAAACGAUGUGGGAAGGCCCAGACAGCCAGGAUGUUGGCUUAGAAGCAGCCAUCAUUUAAAGAAAGCGUAAUAGCUCACUGGUCGAGUCGGCCUGCGCGGAAGAUGUAACGGGGCUAAACCAUGCACCGAAGCUGCGGCAGCGACACUAUGUGUUGUUGGGUAGGGGAGCGUUCUGUAAGCCUGUGAAGGUGGCCUGUGAGGGUUGCUGGAGGUAUCAGAAGUGCGAAUGCUGACAUAAGUAACGAUAAAGCGGGUGAAAAGCCCGCUCGCCGGAAGACCAAGGGUUCCUGUCCAACGUUAAUCGGGGCAGGGUGAGUCGACCCCUAAGGCGAGGCCGAAAGGCGUAGUCGAUGGGAAACAGGUUAAUAUUCCUGUACUUGGUGUUACUGCGAAGGGGGGACGGAGAAGGCUAUGUUGGCCGGGCGACGGUUGUCCCGGUUUAAGCGUGUAGGCUGGUUUUCCAGGCAAAUCCGGAAAACCAAGGCUGAGGCGUGAUGACGAGGCACUACGGUGCUGAAGUGACAAAUGCCCUGCUUCCAGGAAAAGCCUCUAAGCAUCAGGUAACAUCAAAUCGUACCCCAAACCGACACAGGUGGUCAGGUAGAGAAUACCAAGGCGCUUGAGAGAACUCGGGUGAAGGAACUAGGCAAAAUGGUGCCGUAACUUCGGGAGAAGGCACGCUGAUAUGUAGGUGAAGCGACUUGCUCGUGGAGCUGAAAUCAGUCGAAGAUACCAGCUGGCUGCAACUGUUUAUUAAAAACACAGCACUGUGCAAACACGAAAGUGGACGUAUACGGUGUGACGCCUGCCCGGUGCCGGAAGGUUAAUUGAUGGGGUUAGCGGUAACGCGAAGCUCUUGAUCGAAGCCCCGGUAAACGGCGGCCGUAACUAUAACGGUCCUAAGGUAGCGAAAUUCCUUGUCGGGUAAGUUCCGACCUGCACGAAUGGCGUAAUGAUGGCCAGGCUGUCUCCACCCGAGACUCAGUGAAAUUGAACUCGCUGUGAAGAUGCAGUGUACCCGCGGCAAGACGGAAAGACCCCGUGAACCUUUACUAUAGCUUGACACUGAACAUUGAGCCUUGAUGUGUAGGAUAGGUGGGAGGCUUUGAAGUGUGGACGCCAGUCUGCAUGGAGCCGACCUUGAAAUACCACCCUUUAAUGUUUGAUGUUCUAACGUUGGCCCGUAAUCCGGGUUGCGGACAGUGUCUGGUGGGUAGUUUGACUGGGGCGGUCUCCUCCUAAAGAGUAACGGAGGAGCACGAAGGUUGGCUAAUCCUGGUCGGACAUCAGGAGGUUAGUGCAAUGGCAUAAGCCAGCUUGACUGCGAGCGUGACGGCGCGAGCAGGUGCGAAAGCAGGUCAUAGUGAUCCGGUGGUUCUGAAUGGAAGGGCCAUCGCUCAACGGAUAAAAGGUACUCCGGGGAUAACAGGCUGAUACCGCCCAAGAGUUCAUAUCGACGGCGGUGUUUGGCACCUCGAUGUCGGCUCAUCACAUCCUGGGGCUGAAGUAGGUCCCAAGGGUAUGGCUGUUCGCCAUUUAAAGUGGUACGCGAGCUGGGUUUAGAACGUCGUGAGACAGUUCGGUCCCUAUCUGCCGUGGGCGCUGGAGAACUGAGGGGGGCUGCUCCUAGUACGAGAGGACCGGAGUGGACGCAUCACUGGUGUUCGGGUUGUCAUGCCAAUGGCACUGCCCGGUAGCUAAAUGCGGAAGAGAUAAGUGCUGAAAGCAUCUAAGCACGAAACUUGCCCCGAGAUGAGUUCUCCCUGAGACUUAGAGUCUCCUGAAGGAACGUUGAAGACGACGACGUUGAUAGGCCGGGUGUGUAAGCGCAGCGAUGCGUUGAGCUAACCGGUACUAAUGAACCGUGAGGCUUAACCUU
rnacentral:rRNA from 1 species